AUACGGAGGGCGCAAGCGUUAAUCGGAAUUACUGGGCGUAAAGCGUACGUAGGCGGUUAUUUAAGUCAGAUGUGAAAGCCCCGGGCUUAACUUGGGAACUGCAUUUGAAACUGGGUAACUAGAGUUUAGUAGAGGGGAGUGGAAUUUCAGGUGUAGCGGUGAAAUGCGUAGAGAUCUGAAGGAACACCAGUGGCGAAGGCGACUCCCUGGACUAAAACUGACGCUGAGGUACGAAAGCGUGGGUAGCAAACAGGAUUAGAAACCCUAGUAGUCC
rnacentral:rRNA from 1 species